AGCGAACGCUGGCGGCAGGCUUAACACAUGCAAGUCGAGCGGGCAUCCUUGUGGUGUCAGCGGCAGACGGGUGAGUAACGCGUGGGAACGUGCCCUUCGGUUCGGAAUAACUCAGGGAAACUUGAGCUAGUACCGGAUACGUGCGAGAGCAGAAAGGUUUAUCUGCCGAAGGAUCGGCCCGCGUCUGAUUAGCUAGUUGGUGAGGUUACGGCUCACCAAGGCGACGAUCAGUAGCUGGUCUGAGAGGAUGAUCAGCCACACUGGGACUGAGACACGGCCCAGACUCCUACGGGAGGCAGCAGUGGGGAAUAUUGGACAAUGGGGGCAACCCUGAUCCAGCCAUGCCGCGUGAGUGAUGACGGCCUUAGGGUUGUAAAGCUCUUUUCUCCGGGACGAUAAUGACGGUACCGGAGGAAUAAGCCCCGGCUAACUUCGUG
rnacentral:rRNA from 1 species